GGGCGGUUAGCUCAGCUGGUCAGAGCGCGCGCCUUACAAGCGCGAGGUCCCCGGUUCGAUCCCGGGACCGCCCA
rnacentral:tRNA from 1 species